GGAAGGCCGGCAAACUUCAAAGCAACACGUGAUCAAAUGGGAUACCAUGUUACAAAGUACGUCACGUGACAGCUUAUAGUGCAUUCGAGCUGCAAUUCAUAGUAGAAACUUAUAGAAAAUAGAGGGAUCUUUGUCUAAAAUCACCAUUUUCGCGUCUCAUACGAGGUCUAUGGAGCCAUGCGGCAUUGAAUACAUGGAGAUGGACGAAGAGAGUUCUUUGCCAUUUUAUGAAGGCAAUGGAGCCUAUAGUUCGGGUUUUGAAGACGAUUUUGAGCAAACUCUUGCUAAUGCUUGGAUAUGGACUUCGAGGUGGUGAUGAUCGAGGUUCAAAAUUCUCAUGAAGAGGUGAGUUAAAUAUCAAAAUAACUUAUAAAAGUAAGCCGUGCCUUUUCAAUAACCUCACCUAUAAUUUAACUUGAAUCUAGGUUGAAGGAAAUAAGCAAUUCCCUUGCGACUUUUGUGAGAAAAUUUGCAAGUCAAAGGGUGGUCUAACAAAACAUCAACAUCCUUCUGAAGCUUUAUAUUAUAAAUUAAAAGAAAGAAGAGCAAAGAAAACUUUCUAAAGGAGUUUCAUGGCAAUACAAACGCCCAUUGGCAACAAUAUUUUCAUCCUUAUCGUGACAAGAAGAUGAUGUUUUU